UGAGUAAUGCUUCGGAAUCUGCCCAGUAGUGGGGAAUAACCAGCCGAAAGGUUGGCUAAUACCGCAUACGUCCUACGGGAGAAAGCGGGGGACCGCAAGGCCUCGCGCUAUUGGAUGAGCCGAAGUCGGAUUAGCUAGUUGGCUGGGUAACGGCCUACCAAGGCGACGAUCCGUAGCUGGUCUGAGAGGACGACCAGCCACACUGGGACUGAGACACGGCCCAGACUCCUACGGGAGGCAGCAGUGGGGAAUAUUGGACAAUGGGGGAAACCCUGAUCCAGCGACGCCGCGUGUGUGAAGAAGGCCUGCGGGUUGUAAAGCACUUUUAGUGGGGAUGAAAAGCCCAGGGAUAACACCUCUGGGUCUUGACCUAACCCACAGAAAAAGCACCGGCUAACUCUGUGCCAGCAGCCGCGGUAAUACAGAGGGUGCGAGCGUUAAUCGGAAUUACUGGGCGUAGAGCGUGCGUAGACGGUUUCGUAAGUCGGGUGUGAAAGCCCCGGGCUCAACCUGGGAAUUGCAUUCGAGACUGCGGAGCUAGGGUGCGGAAGAGGGAAGCGGAAUUUCCGGUGUAGCGGUGAAAUGCGU
rnacentral:rRNA from 1 species